GUUUAUAUAGUUUACUAAAAACACUAUAUUUUCAUUAUAGAGAUAAAAUCACUUUUUAUAAAUU
rnacentral:tRNA from 1 species